rnacentral:rRNA from 1 species
GACGUAGGGCGCGAGCGUUGUCCGGAUUUAUUGGGCGUAAAGAGCUCGUAGGCGGCUUGUCGCGUCGUUCGUGAAAACCUGCAGCUCAACUGCAGGCUUGCGGUCGAUACGGGCAGGCUAGAGUUCGGUAGGGGAGACUGGAAUUCCUGGUGUAGCGGUGAAAUGCGCAGAUAUCAGGAAGAACACCCGUGGCUAAGGCGGCUCUCUAGUACGGUACUGACGCUGAGACGCGAAAGCGUGGGAGCGAACAGG